UGGGGAAUAUUGGACAAUGGGCGAAAGCCUGAUCCAGCCAUGCCGCGUGUGUGAAGAAGGUCUUCGGAUUGUAAAGCACUUUAAGUUGGGAGGAAGGGCAUUAACCUAAUACGUUAGUGUUUUGACGUUACCGACAGAAUAAGCACCGGCUAACUCUGUGCCAGCAGCCGCGGUAAUACAGAGGGUGCAAGCGUUAAUCGGAAUUACUGGGCGUAAGCGCGCGUAGGUGGUUUGUUAAGUUGGAUGUGAAAUCCCCGGGCUCAACCUGGGAACUGCAUUCAAAACUGACUGACUAGAGUAUGGUAGAGGGUGGUGGAAUUUCCUGUGUAGCGGUGAAAUGCGUAGAUAUAGGAAGGAACACCAGUGGCGAAGGCGACCACCUGGACUAAUACUGACACUGAGGUGCGAAAGCGUGGGGAGCAAACA
rnacentral:rRNA from 1 species